UGCGUAACAGCUCACUAGUCGAGCGAUUGUGCAUGGAUGAUAAUCGGGCAUAAAGCAUAUUACCGAAGCUAUGGACUCCGUAUUAAUACGGAUUGGUAGGGGAGCAUUCCAGUUGCAUAGAAGCUGUGCCGUAAGGCAUGGUGGAGCGGCUGGAAAAGAAAAUGUAGGCAUAAGUAACGAUAAUGCGGGUGGGAAACCCGCACGCCAAUAGACUAAGGUUUCCUGAUCAACGCUAAUCGGAUCAGGGUUAGUCGGGACCUAACGCGAACCCGAAAGGGGUAGUGGAUGGACAACAGGUUAAUAUUCCUGUACUGCUUAAUAUUGUGAUGGGGUGACGGAGUAAUGAAAGCACCGCGUACAGACGGAAUUGUACGUUGAACCGAGUAGGUAUUGGACUGGUAGGCAAAUCCGCCAGACUAGCUAAAUCGGGAUAGUACCAUGCGACUUCGGUCAAGUGGAUAGUGUGCCUAAGGGCUUCCAAGAAAAACCUCUAAACUUCAGAUAUUAAGUACCCGUACCCUAAACCGACACAGGUAGUUGGGAUGAGAAUUCUAAGGCGCUCGAGAGAUUCAUGGCUAAGGAAUUAGGCAAAAUAGACUCGUAACUUCGGGAGAAGAGUCGCCCAUCUUCGGAUGGGCCGCAGUGAAAAGAUCCAGGCGACUGUUUAUCAAAAACACAGGGCUUUGCAAAAUUGAAAGAUGAAGUAUAAGGCCUGACACCUGCCCGGUGCUGGAAGGUUAAGUGGAGUUGUUAGCUUCGGCAAAGCAAUGAAAUGAAGCCCCAGUAAACGGCGGCCGUAACUAUAACGGUCCUAAGGUAGCGAAAUUCCUUGUCGGGUAAGUUCCGACCUGCACGAAUGGUGCAACGAUCUGGGUACUGUCUCAGCCAUGAGCUCGGUGAAAUUGUAGUAACGGUGAAGAUGCCGUUUACCCGCAACGGGACGGAAAGACCCCGUGAACCUUUACUAUAGCUUAGUAUUGACUUUGGAUAAGUAAUGUGUAGGAUAGGUGGGAGACAUCGAAGCAGCGUCGCUAGGCGUUGUGGAGUCGUUGUUGAAAUACCACCCUUUGCUUAUUUGAAGCCUAAUCCCGAAUUAUCGGGAGACAGUGCUUGGUGGGUAGUUUGACUGGGGUGGUCGCCUCCAAAAGAGUAACGGAGGCUUCUAAAGGUACCCUCAGCACGCUUGGUAACCGUGCGUAGAGUGCAAUGGCAUAAGGGUGCUUGACUGAGAGACUAACAAGUCGAUCAGGUUGGAAACAAGAGCAUAGUGAUCCGGUGGUUCCGCAUGGAAGGGCCAUCGCUCAAAGGAUAAAAGGUACUCCGGGGAUAACAGGCUGAUCACUCCCAAGAGCUCACAUCGACGGAGUGGUUUGGCACCUCGAUGUCGGCUCGUCACAUCCUGGGGCUGGAGAAGGUCCCAAGGGUUGGGCUGUUCGCCCAUUAAAGUGGCACGCGAGCUGGGUUCAGAACGUCGCGAGACAGUUCGGUCCCUAUCUGUUGUGGGCGUU
rnacentral:rRNA from 1 species